rnacentral:tRNA from 1 species
GGGGAUGUAGCUCAGUGGCAGAGCAGUUGCCUGGCAUGCACCAGGCCCUGGGUUCCAUCCCCA